AACGCAUGAGUACAUGGUGGGUCAAUAUUCAAUAUGGCGUUUGAACGAAUUGUGGUAUGUUUCGCUGCCGUAAAAUGGCAUAUACAACCACAAAUACAACCAUCCGACUGGUGCAGCUUAAAAAAGAAAUUUCAGGGCUUCCAUUUACUACAUGUUUCAAAGUUCAUGUAUGAGAACAAUAUUUCUUCGUGUAUUCAUACUUUUUAGGAGUUUGCAACAUCAAAAGUUCGAAGCAAGGAAAUCGAUCAACAGGGCUCAGUCACUCAGUACUAUGCUUAGUACUUUUUUAAAUAUCUAUCGGAGAAGUCUGGCUGGGAGAAUGGAAGAAAUUCAGACGCUCAAAUGACUUCUUUUACAAUAACGUGGA